AGCUUGCUACAUCAGGUUGCUACAACCUAGCCUAUUAAUCAGUCCCUCCAGGAUUCUGCGAUCUUAUAAUUCAAUGCAAAAUCAACCAAUCAGGGCAUAUUAUGCUAGAGCCCUCAAUUUUGACCAAUACAAUGAACAGAAAUCAAUAUAAUUUGCCAACUAAAAUAACUGCUAACGAUCGUGCAAAACAAUUUCCAUUUUUUUGGAAACUAGAGAAAGUCGACAAUACACAGAAAAGCAUAUGAGAAUGUCAGAACAGUGCCCACAGCAGCGGCAGAUCGCCAUGACUGAAGUGGUAGCAGGGAAGACUGUGGCAAGCGCUGAAAGAAUCAAGGAACGGGAGGUGCAUCUUGUGUUGAUAUCAAGCCCCAAACCUGAUGGAGAGGAGUGGUGUAUGUGACUGAAUGUUUUAUGAGACCAGGCUGGCUGUCGUGGUGGGGCAGCAUGCAUCACGUGUCUCCAGGACCCUGUGGGCUGAACCCUUACUCAAUGCUAUUGAAGCCCUAUGCUCCAAGGGGCUAAAAGAAAAGUUGAAGUUGCCCUCCAUCCAGCCCUCCUCAAGAGUAAAAGCAAGGAGAAUGAUAUCAAAUCUGAGUCUGGAGAAACCUUAGCGGUUUAGACCGUCGGGCCAGUAACUGAAAGGUUCUUGGUUUGAAUCCCCAAGCCGAUUAGGUGAAAAAUCUGUCCUUGGGCCCUUGAGCAAGGCACUUAACCCUAAUUGCUCCUGUAAGUCACUCUAGAUAACAGUGUCUGCUAAAUUGCUAAAAUGUAAAAUGUGAAGUGUGUGUGUGUAUUUACAAGCGUAUUAUUCCAAUAUGAUCCUAUGAACAAAUCUGAAGUCCGAUGUAUCUUCUACAUAAAAAAAUGUAUUUCAUCAAUAGGACCAUGGGAAGGGUGGGUCCCCAUAAAUCAUGUUAUAAACUGAUUGACCUCAUAAACCAUAUAUACAAGUAUGUGUCUGUGUGUGUGAACAGUUCAUAUACUGUAUGAAAAAAUACCUGAUUAAAUUAAACCAAUUUUACGAAAGUAA